rnacentral:rRNA from 1 species
GAUGAACGCUGGCGGCGUGCUUAACACAUGCAAGUCGAACGGUGAACACGGAGCUUGCUCUGUGGGAUCAGUGGCGAACGGGUGAGUAACACGUGAGCAACCUGCCCCUGACUCUGGGAUAAGCGCUGGAAACGGCGUCUAAUACUGGAUAUGUGACGUGACCGCAUGGUCUGCGUUUGGAAAGAUUUUUCGGUUGGGGAUGGGCUCGCGGCCUAUCAGCUUGUUGGUGAGGUAAUGGCUCACCAAGGCGUCGACGGGUAGCCGGCCUGAGAGGGUGAACGGCCACACUGGGACUGAGAGACGGACCAGACUGCUACGGGAGGCAGCAGUGGGGAAUAUUGCACAAUGGGCGCAAGCCUGAUGCAGCAACGCCGCGUGAGGGAUGACGGCCUUCGGGUUGUAAACCUCUUUUAGCAGGGAAGAAGCGAAAGUGACGGUACCUGCAGAAAAAGCGCCGGCUAACUACGUG